rnacentral:rRNA from 1 species
GUGGCAUCUGACUGCUUAUUGCACCACAUGUGUUUUUCUUUGAAACAAACUUGCUUUGGCGGUGGGCCCAGCCUGCCGCCAGAGGUCUAAACUUACAACCAAUUUUUUAUCAACUUGUCACACCAGAUUAUUACUAAUAGUCAAAACUUUCAACAACGGAUCUCUUGGUUCUCGCAUCGAUGAAGAACGCAGCGAAAUGCGAUACGUAAUAUGAAUUGCAGAUAUUCGUGAAUCAUCGAAUCUUUGAACGCACAUUGCGCCCUCUGGUAUUCCGGAGGGCAUGCCUGUUUGAGCGUCGUUUCUCCCUCAAACCGCUGGGUUUGGUGUUGAGCAAUACGACUUGGGUUUGCUUGAAAGACGGUAGUGGUAAGGCGGGAUCGCUUUGACAAUGGCUUAGGUCUAACCAAAAACAUUGUUUGCGGCGGUAACGUCCACCACGUAUAUCUUCAAACUUUGACCUCAAAUCAGGUAGGACUACCCGCUGAACUUAAGCAUAUCAAAAGGCGGAGGAA